rnacentral:lncRNA from 1 species
ACCGAUACGGCUUUCCUUUUAAGUCGAACAAGUUUAAAAAAAAGAAGAAAAAAAAAGAAAAAAAAAAAAAAAUAGUGAAGGCGAUCUUUAGUACGCAUUGCUUGAAAAACAGGGAAUUAUUCAUAAAAACGACACCGUAGACUUCAUGAAUGUUAGAUUCAGCAAGACGUCAAGGAUUUCAGAGGGAAAUAAUUCAAACUAAGUGCUCAAAUCCGCUAAAAAAUUCUCAAUUGACCAUUAUCAUUCAAUAUGGGAGAAAUAUUCGAAAUGUUCACGAGUUUUUGUUUAAUUCAAUUUUUCCUUUCUUUAUUUUUAUCCAUUAGUAAUCUAGCUAUUUUUCAAAAAUUAAAGAAAGGAAAAAAAUAAUUUCAAAAUAUCAUCUCAACUCAGUAAUUUUUAAUUUAAGUUCCCUACAAAGGAAACAUUUUUGAUUUUUGAUUUUGUUUUCCAGUUGACAAGAAAUCAAAGUAUGCAUACAUUUAAAUAAUAACAAAAAAAGAAGAUGAAAUAAUAUCAGAACAAGAAACAAAAGUCAAUUGAAUGUUUCGCUAAAAAAUCAAGUAUAUGUGUCCGUCUUGGUUUGACAUUAAUUUGCCUCCUUUCAUAGGGUAUAAUAGAGAAUGGUUAAUAGCAAAAUAGCGCAGGCUAAAUUGAAAAGCAAUAACGUCGGAUGGGAUUUUUUUUUCUUUUGUAAACAGGUCGUUGUUUUGUAAUGAAAAUCGGAAUACUAAAGAACUCUAUGUGCAUCAUUUCCUUUUGAUUCACGGACCAUUGCCCGGCGCGCGGCACAGCUGGAGCAACCAGUGAACGACCGGGCCCGUCAUGUAUUCGCCGAUCUUCACUCCCGAAAUGACCGGCCAUCUACAAUCGCCCUGAGAAUAUUCGCUCAAUCUAUUUGCGCGCGAAGACGUAGAACUAUUCGGGCCGAAAUAUUGAACCUUGUCGGUCGAAAUUCGACACUUAUUAAGUUCGUUGUUCUUGACUCCCGAUCGGGACACAAUUGGAAGAUAUUCGCGAGUUUCGAACGUGUAACUGACGUUCGGUUAGGAAACUUUUAUCCGAAAUAUGAUCCAGGCGUCACUCGACAUAUUUGUUCGGUAAAGUGCGGUUUAAAGCAUUUCAAAUUCUCGGGGCGUGUUGAAAAAAGUCACGUGGAAGUUUCCAUAAGCCUCGUAUUGGUCACUAUUUUCAAAUGUUCUGAAUAUCUGUAGUUAAAUUCUUCAACCACCUGUGUUGGCCGAGAUUAUUCCGAGAUUGGUGUCGUGAAGUAAAACUUGACUUUCUAUCGAGAUUUUGUGUGACAGUGUUAUUCUAUUUUACUUGUUUAAAAAAAAAUCAUUUAUACCCAUUUAAGAGAUUCCCAUUCCUAAGAAGUGACUGCUACCUUUUACUUACGCCCCUCUUUUCGAUCCAAACGUUGACGGUCAAGAAUCUUUGGAAACAAUAAUUUAGUGUACAAAUUAUGUCCGACAUUAUGAAAUAAUUUCCUAUCAAGUAAUCUGUUGAUAAAGUGACACGCUUGAAUAGGAGGCGGGCGUACUAUUGAACAUAACAUUAUUUCGUGAUGUUCCAAUUAAAUCACUGUUAUUAAAAAAGUAUCAUUCAGUUGAGCGUAUUUUUCAUAUCUAUCCAGAUUAUGAUACCUAAAAAGGCUGCCUUGGCAAUUUUUUCUUCAAAACACUCGUAAAAUACUGAAUAAUCAAAUCCCAACACAUUUAUUGGUUUAAGUACUCCGUACGGAAGAGAGAGGGUUUGUAGCUUUGAUUAAAUUGUAAAGUGCAGUGAGUAACAGGGUUUUAAUCAUAGACUGCUUCAGACGAGGAUCGCGAUCAUUUCACGAAAGAGUGCGCUGCAGGUGUAAGGGUUCUGAAAAUGCCGCGGAUCAAAUUCCAGCACUACAAGUCGUUGGCUCUCCAUGGAUGUGCCAUUGGCGGAGAGUGAUUCCGGUCCAGCGUAUUUCCGUGGAAAACUGGACGGAAAUGCCGUCAUCCGGUGUUGACAAACCGUUGCCCCACUUCGGAGAUUGGCGAGUUCCUGGAUGCUGCGGACCCCUGACCGAGUAAUAUGCGUUUGAACCCAUUCCAGAAGAACAUAAUAAUGUAAGUAUUCGAUUUCCUCUCUAUUGACUGACAAUAUUUGAAUCGCAUUUAGCAAAAAGGAACCAGCGUGAAUCGUGAUUAUAGUGUUUUCAAAAUCGUACAAAUGGGUCAGUUGCACUGGUAACAGAAUCGUGUUUUGAUGCUUGAUUCUUGUAGAUUAGCUAAAAAUAAAAAGACCUGUUCAAACAGCAACUUUCUACGUUGAAUAUUAACCGAGGUAUUGUCCUUUGAAAAUUCGGGGUUUUGACGUCAUCCACCGCGGCAGUGCGUAUCGUGGUAUGUACUACCGCGGUGGAUGACGUCAUAGGUCGAGUUUUUCAAACCGCGCGAUAUCUUGGUUAAUAUUUAACGUAGAGAGUUGCUGUUUGGACAGAUCUUAUUAUUUUUAGUUGAUCUGCAAGAAUAAAGCACCAAAACACGAUUUUGACGUGACCAACGCAACUUACCCAGUCUUC